rnacentral:rRNA from 1 species
UGCCAGCAGCCGCGGUAAGACGGAGGGUGCAAGCGUUACUCGGAAUUACUGGGCGUAAAGGGUCUGUAGGCGGCUUGGAAAGUUGGAUGUGAAAUCCCACAGCUUAACUGUGGAACUGCGUCCAAAACUAUCAAGCUUGAGGAUGGUAGGGGACAGUGGAACUCAAGGUGGAGCGGUGAAAUGCGUAGAGAUCUUGAGGAACACCGGUGGCGAAAGCGACUGUCUGGGCCAUUCCUGACGCUGAGGGACGAAAGCUAGGGGAGCGAACGGGAUUAGAUA